UACGGGGGGGGGCAAGCGUUGUCCGGAAUCAUUGGGCGUAAAGCGCGCGUAGGCGGCCCGGUAAGUCCGUUGUGAAAGUCAAAGGCUCAACCUUUGAACGCCGAUGGAUACUGCCGGGCUAGAGUCCGGAAGAGGCGAGUGGAAUUCCUGGUGUAGCGGUGGAAUGCGCAGAUAAUCGGAAGGAACAUCAGUGGCGAAAGCGGCUUCCUGGACCAGGUACCGAACGGUUCAGGCACGAAAGCC
rnacentral:rRNA from 1 species